rnacentral:rRNA from 1 species
GUCUGAUGUGAAAUCCCCCGCCUCAACCUGGGAGCUGCAUUGGAAACUGGCAGGCUAGAGUCCCGUAGAGGAGAGUGGAAUUCCACGUGUAGCGGUGAAAUGCGUAGAGAUGUGGAGGAACACCGGUGGCGAAGGCGACCCCCUGGACUGUAACUGACGCUGAGGAGCGAAAGCGUGGGGAGCGAACAGGAUUAGAUACCCUGGUAGUCCACGCCGUAAACGAUGACUGUUUGGAGGUAGGGCCCUUCAGCCCCGUCUUGCUGAACUUACGCGUUUAAUCACCCGCCCGGGGAAUACCGGCGCCAGGACUGAACUCCAAUGAAUUUGCGGGGGCCCGCCCCAACGGUGGAACCUGGGGUUUAAUUCCAAACAACCCCAAAAACCCUAACCGGGCCUGGCC